rnacentral:hammerhead_ribozyme from 13 species
CAUUAGUCCGAAAUUAACUGAUGAGAUUGAGAGAUAAAUCGAAAUUAAUU